CCCCUUUUCUUGCCUUCGCGCGCUCACUAUAUUCGACGCGUCGGCUCGACCGACUAUGGCGAUAAACUGCCGGUGCAAUAAACCAUUCGGACCCGGGGGCAGUGCCCGGCGCCUCCACCAGAAACCGCAGGCUGCUUAGAUGGAAAGGGCGGCUUCUGAUGGGGGCGAAACAGGAUCGACGAGGGUGUAAAGAUCGGACUUUCGCUCGGCAUUGUACCACCGUUAUCGGGCUAUCUUUAUAGUUGCCAACGACAACUAUGCGGAAGCACGUCUCGCUGCUUAAUGCAGUGCGAUAGCUUCAAAUCAAGCCUUAGGCCGUCGCAGGUCUAAGCGGGGUUCGGAGGCACCUGGCAACAGAAGCCUCCACU
rnacentral:tmRNA from 1 species